AAAUGAAUAGACGGGGGCCCGCACAAGCAGCGGAGCAUGUGGUUUAAUUCGAAGCAACGCGAAGAACCUUACCAGGGCUUGACAUCGUCUGACCGCUUAAGAGAUUAGGCCUUCCCUUCGGGGACAGACAGACAGGUGGUGCAUGGUUGUCGUCAGCUCGUGUCGUGAGAUGUUGGGUUAAGUCCCGCAACGAGCGCAACCCUUGUAUUUAGUUGCUAACACAAAAGGUGAGCACUCUAGAUAGACUGCCGAUAAGAAGUCGGAGGAAGGUGGGGAUGACGUCAAAUCAUCAUGCCCCUUAUGUCCUGGGCUACACACGUGCUACAAUGGUCUGUACAGAGGGUAGCGAAGGAGCGAUCCGGAGCCAAUCCCAAAAAGCAGAUCCCAGUUCGGAUUGCAGGCUGCAACUCGCCUGCAUGAAGUCGGAGUUGCUAGUAAUCGCGGAUCAGCAUGCCGCGGUGAAUGCGUUCCCGGGCCUUGUACACACCGCCCGU
rnacentral:rRNA from 1 species